UUUAUAUUAAACUUUUGUUUUAAAUCCUGUGAACGUUGACAUAAUUUAAAUGGAUGAAAAGAUGAUCAUUGUGAACUUUGCUGAUGCAGGUCUGAAGCUUGGCCAAAGCUACCUCAUAGGAUUUUAUAAUGAUCUUGUCGUUAGGCCUUCCCUUGAGAAGUCUUCCAUAUAUGCAAUACUCCUCAACAAUGGGGUUAUCAGGAAGAAGCCUAUGUACUUUGCUGGACAUGGAAUCUGCAUAAGAAGGACUUGCCAGAUAAUUGAGGAUUGGUAGAGUCUAUGACCCCAGCCUCCUGAUCUUCCACGGCGCAAAUGUCCAUGUUCUCCUCACCAUCUCUUUCUCGCGAGUCUGUAGCCUGAAUCUCUGUGCCUCCAGGAUCAUUCACAUCUCUUUGGCCUGAGUCUAAAUUUCAAGAUCAAUUUUCAUUAGUAUCUGCUGAUAUUUCUCUGAGCAUGUUGAGCAUAGAUUUUAUGAGUUGAUUUGUAUUAGGGCCCUGCAUUGAACAAAAAAUGCUCUACAGAAAUCAUCCUGUCUGUCUGUACAUAUUUCUGGAUGGCACUUAAAGCAUCUCCGGUAUAUUCUAGAAAUUUUCAUGAAGGUCUCUUAAAUAGACUGCUCAAAAAGUUGGUUCUAUGUAUCCCAGACCUCUGGUCAUACCCUGUGAAUAUGUGUACAAAUUUUUAAUUGAUAGUAUGUUGUACUUACAUGUACACAAUGUAGGUGUAGUAGGUAUUUUGAAAAACUGAUUGAUUGAAUAUAUAUUGUUUAACGUACGUCUUUCUCGAGAACUUUUCACUCAUAAGGAGAUACCACCCCUUGCUGGUGGAGAGCUGCAAAUUUUGUUCCAUACUCGGCACUCAGGGCCAUUGAGCAGGGAGGGAUCUUUUUUGUGCUAGCACCUACUGUGACACGGGACCUCGUUUUAAACAGUUUCAUCCAAAGGAUCGGUCUCCACGUCCCACAGUGGGAUUUGAACCUGCAACGUAAGGAUUGACUCCUUACUUCACGACUCUGGAGCAGGCACUCUAACCACUGCUCUACCCAGGCGACUAUUUUAAAAGAAGAAUGUGUAAAGAUUUCAGUUUGCCUAUAGGUUUCUCUAUCCAUGCAUCUUUAUAAGUCUGAACUAUUUUUUGAGUCUGAGCAUUGUGGGGCCCUAUACACAAAAUUUUACAAGCAAAAUAGUAGGAUAAAAUUGCAAGAAGGAUGAUUUUAUUAUAUUACAGUAAGUUUUUAAGUUUUGUUUUCAAUUUAUUCAGAACACUCAUGAAUGUAAUUUACAAUAAUAGGACUAAGAAAUUUUCAAGAUGCAUCACUACUUUUUCUGCAAAAUAUUGUAGGACACCUGCUGAGAACGGAUUGGUUUGGACGUCAUUUGUCUCCAUCCCUGCACAUUCCUGCCCUGCUGCAUCCCUGCCCAUAACUUCAAAUGCAUCAUGUGAGUCUCCACCACCCAAAUCUUGGACUGGACAGGCUUUUGAGUCCUUGUCCCCUUCAGCUGAAAUUGCAACAGAAUCCAUGCAUUUCUAUAAGACACACCUGCUGAGAACGGAUUGGUUUGGACCUCAUUUGUCUCCAUCCCUGCACUUUCCUGCCCUGCUGCAUCCCUGCCCGUAACUUCAAAUGCAUCACCUGAGUCUCCACCACCCAAAUCUCGGACUGGACAGCCUUUUGAGUCCUGGUCGCCUUCAACUGAAAUUGCAACAGAAUUUACAAUUUUUACUCAUCUAAGUUAUAAUUAAGUGAAUUUUCAAGGUUUUCAGUUAAGUGUUGAGCUCACUUGAUUUAAAGUUAGCUUUUGGUUUUUUAUAAGGGAAAAAUUAGUCAAUGUAUUUUUUAGUCAGUACCUGGGUUAUCAGUGAUUGCUUGGAUUUGGUUGUCUGUUCUGUGUGAGUUCUCUUCUCUAGUUUUUAGAGCAGAAUUGGCCUUGAUUUGUCUGUCAGAGUCUAGAUAUAAAUAGGAAAUAAGGUUUAUUGCUAUAAAGUUCCAAAUAGAUGUUAUAUUGAAAGGAUAAAUACCUAAGCAUUCUUCUUCUAAAGAUUCUUCUGUUAGGUUUGAGUUGUCCACCAGAAGCUCUGAAAAAAAGAAAUAAGAUAUAUUAUUUUCUGUAGUAAAGAUUUUCAAUGUGCUUUAUAUUUUUAUGAAAUCUAUAAUCCAUUUCAUUGUAGACAACAAUUUUUCUCCCCUUUCUAGUUGUAUGCACUUACAAAAGCUCUAAACACUGCUCACGGAAUUCAAAUCCCAUGGAAGUUUGUUUCAGUUAGAGUAAUCUGCCCUUUGAUAUAAUGAUAUUUGAUAUUUUAGGAAUGAGCAACCCUGUAUAUAAUUCAGUAAUAUGUCGAUCACCAAGUCCAUUAUAAAUGGUCACUAAUUUGGCGAUUUAUAGAAAAUUUUUCGACACAAAUCAAAUUUUUAGGUGUCAUGGGGACUAAAAUAGGAUGAGAAUAGAGGAUUUUUUUUUAUUGUGGUCUUGUUACUUUUUAGAUUAAGUUUAUUAUAAUUUCUUACCUUCAUUUUUAAGUAUCCUUGACUUCUUUCCCUCAAACACUUUGAUUUUAGUUAGUGGUAGCUGAAGUCUCCUGGCCUCAAACUCUGUUAAGCACUUACUCCAGGCCACAGAAGUCCUUUCCUUGUAGUCUUGUAAUGUUUGAGACCUGAAGUGUAGAACCGGGGGUUGUGGAUGUUCUGAGCAUGUUGGUCCAUCAUGAAAGACAAUUUGAUCUUCUUUAACUGACCACCAGUAAUCUUUUCCUUGUAAGAGAUAAUCUGCUAUCUGUUCUAGGUGGGUUUGGAAGAGAUAUGGCCUAGUUCUUAGUAGAUCUAGUGGGAAAGUUGAAUUCUCUGCUGGUGGCAGGAGUCUUGCUUGGUGACUUAUGUUUGAUUCUUGUUGUUUGUAACUGCUAUUUCUUGUCUCGCUCUGCUGUUGGAUGUUGUAUCUCAUUACGGCGUUAUCGAUGACCUUUCCACACUGCCUACUAGAUGUUCUCAAGGAUAUUGUCCUCAGAUCCCCAAAUGAUCGCUCUUCUUGUUCAGGUAUUAACGAUCUGAGGCAAAAAAGCCUGUAUGUUUGUGGAGUGUGGACUGUGAGGCAGUGAAAAUGACACCCGUAAAAUUUUCGAGCAGUCAUUUUCUUGGGAAUUCCAAUUAUGCGCUUGCAUAAAAAGCUAAAUAGAAAGCAUUGAUUAUGGAAUCUAAGAAUUCUCUUUGAAGUUCUUUGGCUAUUUAGACUGUAGCAUAUUGAAAUAAUUUCUACGAGAGAGGUGCACAUGUCCACUAUGUCUUUAGAGAUUUUUCCUUCUGCAUUCUGUGUGGUAACAAAAUUUGCCAGUUUUAUUGCAUAUAAUCUUGCAUCUGAACCCUUCAACUGGUUUUUAUCCCCGAUCGUUAGUUCCGAAAACUUUUCAAAUUCUUGUUGUGCCUUUUUAUCUUCGAUAUGUGCAGGGAGUUCGGUUAUCAAAUUUUGGACAACAUUGGUGAGGUCAUGAAGAGGCUCGGAUGCUGGAAUCUCGUACAUGGACAACACAUCAGAAUUGGAAUUAUCACUGCAUAAAAGAGCUGGUGGUCGUUGUGUGCCAUGCAGAAUUGUGGCGAGUUGCUCUUGCAUUUCAGGCUUGGACAUAUAAAAGGUGUCGACUCCCCUGGCUUCCAGUUCUUCUAUCAAAUCAUCUCGUUUUAAAUUAUUUAAUGGACUCAAAUUUUCUAAGGAAAACCCUUUCCAUAGACAACCAGCUCUGAACAAUUUUACCCUUUCUUGCAAAGAUGGAGAAUGAAAUCUCAUGGCACACUCUAAAUUCUGGUGUUCCGCUGCCUUAAUGCCACAGAGACAACUGUAGUGUCCACCUCUCUGUUGUCCGGCUUCAAAUUGCCUAGCUGGUCCAUCACCAGUGAACACCCUGACUUUGUCGUAGAUAAAGAAUCCUUUGUGGGUUGUUGGAGUUUGGAUUUCUGCAAGGUCGGCUAUUCUUGUGUCUAAAUAUGUCAUCUGGUCACUGUCACUGGACUUUGAUUGGCCUAGAAUAUACAGAUAGGGCUUCUCUACUGCACUCUGAACAUCUAUUGGGGUUUUAUCUGGAAAUCUCUCUCGGAACUCCUCAUUUGUCAGGAACACAGAUGGAUCAUAUAAUGUUGAAACCAUAAAGGCCACAUAACUAUGGUUGAGGAUGUCGCUGUGAUCGUGCCAGAACUUGAGAUGCCGAGUAUUUUCUGUGUUAAUCUCUUUAUGGUUAAGAUUUCUAAAAAGGUUGGACUGAUCUGUGUUCAUUUGGUACCUGAUUUUCUCUAAGGGUAUUUUCCUACCAUGAACCUGAAGAGACACAUCUUGAAGUUUUCCGUUUGACAUUAUUUUAUUUCUUUUAAUUAUCUUUGGAGCAAUCUUCUCACCAAUGUAAAUUUCACUUGUGUGGAGUUUUCUCUGGAUUGCAUUUUGAAGACUUUUUGUUGGACGUGGGGUGGGGAUCGAUACUCUUUUGUAGAGUUUAUACUUGGCUCUGCGGACCCUCUGAAAGUAAUCUCUACCACUGAGCCUUUGUAGGGGGUUGAAUUUGUUCACAUUCACACCUAAAGCUUUAGCAAUCUCUAACAAGACCUGUCCAGCAUUUGGGGGUCUCACCCCAUUUUUGUUAGUCAAGUUGAAUUUAAUGGCUAAACCCCUCCAACUUACUUUGGAGCCAGAUGGAAUUGCAUUUACAUGCUUUAGAAAUGCUUGUUUUUCAAAGUUGUAAUUUUGUAGAUUGCCUGUAUGUCUCUUUGCCUUCCUCUCCCCAGACUUGACCAUUUUUGUUGUUUUUUCACUGCGUUCUCUUGCCGCCGUCGGUGUUUCAAAGAAACUAGCUUUUCUAUCUCUAUCUCGUUGAUUGUAAGAAAGUCCAGAUGAAAGAAAAGAGUUAAUUUCAUUUUCAUUUGAGAGGAUGUUUGAAACUUUUUCACUGCUUUUUUUUGUCUCAUUGAUUUUUUCUUUGAAUUUUUGCACUCCUGAUUGUUUUUCAGUUAAUUUGUAAUGGAAUGAAGCAGCAUUUUUAAGGGUAGUCUGAAAUUUUGAUUCAAAGAUAGGUUCUAAAAUGUUCAGCAUUUGUAGUUGCCCAUUUGCAGUUCUGUUUGGGGUUAGUGUUUCUAUUUCAUCAGCUAAUUCUUUUGCUUUUGACAUGAUGUUUUCUGUGUUUUCACUGAUAGAUGUGUGCAGAGUUGAUAAUGUUGGAUAACUGGCCUCACAUCUGGCACAAUCUUGUAAGGAAUGCAAAUUUUUUUCUCUUUCUGAUAAAAGAGACCAUGAUUGUAAUGAGAAUUUCUGAAGAAAUUGCUGUUUUUCACCAUUUUUGUUGGAAUUUUUCCAGUACUUGUUAUUUGUUAGAUAAUUUUGCAGUCUGGAAAGGUUUGGUUUGAAUUUUUUGUAGGACACGUACAUUUUGGGAUAUCUAUGCAUAACACUUUGGUAAAAGUCAUAACGUGCCGGUGCUGAAAUAGUGUUGCUAAAUUUGCUGACUUGAAGUUGAGUUGUUGAAAGUGUAGAUUCUUUUGAGUUAGACUCUGUUUUGUUUUUCCACCAUUCAACUGAAUUUUCAUCUUUUGAACUUCUAGCUAUUAUGACCUUAGCAAAGUUGCAGUAAUUCAUAUUUACCAAAAGUCUGAUACACUGUACUAGUAGUUCAUAAUAUUUGUGUACAUUACCAUAUUCUGCAAAUCAUUGGGGUCUUUGUAGCAGACGCCAUUGUAAUGUAUAUUCUCUAAGAAAAAUUCUUAGGUUAUGAAAAAAGAAAAAAAAUCAUUUUUAAAAACUUUAUCACAAUUUUUCAUUUUAUCAAAAUUAAUUUUUAUAAAAUGCACCCCACUAAUUUUUUUUUGCUGCCAGUAUUGCAAAAAACUCACAGCACAUAAACCUUAUUUUGGCUUUAUAGCUUAAGUUUUUCAACAAAAAUUGACUGAAAACUUUGAAAAUAUUUCUUAGUUAUACAAAGGUAACAUUUUUUAACUUGUAUGAGCUGUAUUUAACUUUUUCAUUUCGGGGCCUUUUGGUUUAGAGGGUAUAAUAUUUAUACAAAUUUUAGGUGAAUAACUUCAUUAAUACUUAAAUAACUUUACAAUUGUGCUAAUAUUAACUAUUGAAGUCAAAUUUUGCUGUCUUACUUUUUAAAUAGAAAACGAAAUUGAUAGCAAUGUAUUUAUUAUGCAAAAAGGGG